UUCUAGGAUUGCAGGUGUGAGCCACCACACCCAGCCAGAUGAGUGAGACAUUUGGUGCUGAAUAACCAGGUCAGAGGGACUCCUUCGGGAGAACAGUCCCCUGUCCUCACCCUCACUCCAUGAAGAGAUCCACCUAUGACCUCAGGUCCUCAGACCAACCAACCCAAGGAACAUCUCACCAAUUUCAAAUUGGGCUGGAGUUCAUAGGAGUUAUGACAGAGCCAAUCAGGGAAAUCAUGACGAAGAUCAUGGAUGCAGCACAAAAAGUAAUUGAAGGGUGAAGGGUUUCAAGACAUGGAUCUUAAAGAAAUGUAAGAGCUAAUAGACACCACACCAGAGGAAUGAACAGACAACAACUUGAUGGAGAUCAACCCAUGACUGCAGCUGAACAACACCUGACAGGACAAAAGGAAAAUAAAAAGACUGGACAAGAUAUAUGGUGGAGGGAUGCACAUACAAAGAGCUGAGAAAAAGGUAAGAUAAUUUUUUGGGGAAGAGAAUUUGCUUGUCUCUCUCCAGGUGACAAUCAGGUGCCCGUGUGGGUGACCACCAAACAUCUGAAGAUAUAUCAUGAGCCACAGCAUCUAGUAGACCCACCUGUAGUGCAAAUGGAAGGUUUAAGGAUUGCUUUUAAGCCUCGAUUUGCUUUCUCUGUGCCUUCUGUUAGAAGGGGCCUGCUUCUCGUUAUCAACAGUAAGUUUUGCCCCGUGGUAAUUAACCAAAGAGGCAGAAGCUGAGUUACAAAUGCUUCAGCAAUGGCAUGCCUCCCAGCUAUAGCCACAAAAGUUUUUGCUUGUGUUUCAGUAGAUUUACUAACGUAGGGGUGAGGGUAUGCUUGUGUUUUGCAGGAGAUAAACAGAUCGUGUAGGUGCCCUCAAGAUGUGUAUGACCAUGGAGCAGGAGACUGGACGGGCCCAUGGAUCCCAACCAUGGACCAGGUUCCCCCAGUAGAAGCCAUGCUGAGAAACUGCUGGAGCACCAGGGUUUACCUAUAGAUGCUUAGCAGACCAAUGCUUUCUGACAGAACACCUCUCUACCCUGAACACAAGAGACCCCAAUAGGUUCUGCUAGCUGAAGAAACUACUGACGCCAGCUGUUCUGAAGGACCCAGCAAGGAAGAGACUCAUGGAAGAUUAGUUUCUACCUAAUGAUCUCAUCCUCCUUAUCCUGACCAAUCAAUGAUCCCAGUUUUCCAGCCCCUCGUCAUCCAUGAUCCACUUAAAAACCUUUCCCCAGAACUCCUUGGAGAGGUGGAUUUGAGACUUGAAGAUUCCAUUUUUCUCCUCACUCAGUGGCCUUGGGAUUAUUAAACUCCUUCUCUAUUGCAAA